CCGCCGGCGACCGGCGCACGGGUGAGUAACACGUAUGCAACCUGGCCGUGACAGAUGGAUAACCGGGAGAAAUCCCGCCUAAUACAACAUAAUGCCGGGAGGGGACAUCCCCUGCCGGCCAAAGGGGGCGACCCCGGUCACGGAUGGGCAUGUGGCGCAUUAGGUAGUUGGUGGGGCAACGGCCCACCAAGCCGACGAUGCGUAGGGGUUCUGAGAGGAAGGUCCCCCACAUUGGAACUGAGACACGGUCCAAACUCCUACGGGAGGCAGCAG
rnacentral:rRNA from 1 species